GACAGAGGGGGCAAGCGUUGCUCGGAAUCACUGGGCGUAAAGGGCGCGUAGGCGGGAUGGCAAGUCGGUCGUGAAAUCCUUCGGCUCAACCGAAGAACGUCGGCCGAUACUGCCGUUCUUGAGGGAUGCAGAGGAGAUUGGAAUUCCCGGUGUAGCGGUGAAAUGUGUAGAGAUCGGGAGGAACACCGGUGGCGAAGGCGGCUCACUGGUCCGGUACUGACGCUGAGGUGCGAAAGCGUGGGGAGCAAACAGG
rnacentral:rRNA from 1 species